UACGAAGGGGGCUAGCGUUGCUCGGAAUUACUGGGCGUAAAGGGCGCGUAGGCGGAUAGUUUAGUCAGAGGUGAAAGCCCAGGGCUCAACCUUGGAACUGCCUUUGAUACUGGCUAUCUUGAGUACGGAAGAGGUAUGUGGAACUCCGAGUGUAGAGGUGAAAUUCGUAGAUAUUCGGAAGAACACCAGUGGCGAAGGCGACAUACUGGUCCGUUACUGACGCUGAGGCUCGAAAGCGUGGGGAGCAAACAGG
rnacentral:rRNA from 1 species